CCGGUGUGUGCGGGGCGUGGCGGGCGCAGCGUGGCGGGCGCAGCUUACCGGGCGGAGGUAUGAAAAUGAAAGUCUUCAUAAUGGAAGGAAGUCAACUGAAUUUCCAAGAAAAAUACGUGAACAGGAGCCAGCACGUCGUGUCUCAAGAUCUAGUUUCUCUUCUGACCCUGAUGAGAAAGCUCAAGAUUCCAAGGCCUACUCAAAAAUCACUGAAGGAAAAGUUUCAGGAAGUCCUCAGGUACAUAUCAAGAAUGUCAAAGAAGACGGUACCGCAGAUGACUCAAAAGACAGUGUUGCUCAGGGAACACCUAAUGUUCAUUCCUCAGAACAUGCUGGACGUAAUAGCAGAAAUACAGCUGAUCCCAUUUCUGGGGGUUUUAAAGAAAUUUCCAGGGUUAAAUUAGUGAGCCAUUAUGGCGAAUUGAAGUCUGUUCCCACUACACAAUGUCUUGACAAUAGCAAAAAAAAUGAAUCUCCCUUUAGGAAGCUUUAUGAGUCAAUGAAGAAGGAGUUGGAUGUAAAAUCACAAAAAGAAAAUGUUCUACAGUAUCGUAGAAAAUCUGGAUUACAAACUGAUUACGCAACAGAAAAAGAAAGUGUUGAUGGUUUACCGGGGGAGACCCAACUGUUGGUCUCGUGUAAGUCAAGACUGAAAUCUGGUGGAAGCA
rnacentral:sRNA from 1 species